rnacentral:lncRNA from 1 species
UGAAGUGGAUGUUCAAGGAGAACCACUCGCUAGAAAACAGAUGCGUGCAGUUCCCGAAGAUCAGAGUAAAAUAUCCUGACCGGGUUCCGGUGAUUGUGGAAAAAAAAAGUCUCAGGCUCUCAGAUUGUUGACACUGACAAACGGAAGAACUUGGUUCCAUCUGACAGCCAUUCAGUUCCAUCUGUGGCUCAGUUCUUGUGGAUCAUCACAAAAAGGAUCCAUCUUCCUUCUGAAAAGGCAUCUUCUGUUUGUGGAUAAAACAGUCCAGUCCAGCCUAACUAUAGGAGAGCUUUACUAGAAGGAAAAAGAUACAGAUGGAAUCUUGUAUGUGGCCUCCAGUGGGGAGAACACUUUUGGUU